rnacentral:tRNA from 1 species
GUUAAUGUAGCUUAACUAAUAAAGCAAAGCACUGAAAAUGCUUAGAUGGACAUAUAAUCCCAUAAACA